rnacentral:rRNA from 1 species
AUGGGUGCACGCCAGAUAAGUUGUCGUGUCCAGUGCAAGUGGGAUCCUAGUGGAGUUGGUUCUGAGAUGCUUUUCGGAAAUUUAUUGUUUGAUUUGUUGCCAUUGUUCUCAUUAGCUGCAUUAGUCGUGCUCUGUGAGGUGAGGGUUAUUGCAUCCUACAUCUGCUCAGACUGGACUAAAGUGGCCUUAAUGUGCCGCUAUGUAAGCCAUGCUUCUUGGCGUGGAUAUCCUACAUUGCGAAAAGGGACUGGCCUAUUAUUACAACACAGAUGCAAGCUAGUGAAGCCUUGGCAGGACAAAAUGAAUCAGUGCUCAGUCCUGGUGCUCAGUCACAGAAAAGCGCCGGUGGCUCUUGUUGAGCGUCUCGUUCCUCUUCCUGAGCCAAAGAAGAACGUCGACACGCCAAGAGAGGUGAAGACUGCCAUUGCCAACACAUUAAGAAGCAGCAUGGGAGACCUCAGAAAUGGCAUGAGAUGUUUGCAACUCGGCGUGCAAGUCGGGGACAACCUCCUCCGGGCAUGA